GUGCUGUAGAGGUGAUGAGAUCUUCAUGUCUCUUCUCUGACUAAACAAAUCAAUGAAGAGAACUUUUAUAACUCUGAUCGCAGCAU
rnacentral:snoRNA from 1 species